GCGCUCAUAGCUCAGCUGGAUAGAGCACUUGGCUACGAACUAAGGGGUCGGGAGUUCGAAUCUCUCUGAGCGCAACA
rnacentral:tRNA from 1 species